AACGAACGCUGGCGGCAGGCUUAACACAUGCAAGUCGAACGCCCCGCAAGGGGAGUGGCAGACGGGUGAGUAACGCGUGGGAAUCUACCUAGUUCUACGGAACAACAGUUGGAAACGACUGCUAAUACCGUAUACGCCCUACGGGGGAAAGAUUUAUCGGAAUUAGAUGAGCCCGCGUAAGAUUAGCUAGUUGGUGGGGUAAUGGCCUACCAAGGCGACGAUCUUUAGCUGGUCUGAGAGGAUGAUCAGCCACACUGGGACUGAGACACGGCCCAGCCUCCUACGGGAGGCAGCAGUGGGGAAUAUUGGACAAUGGGCGCAAGCCUGAUCCAGCCAUGCCGCGUGAGGGAUGAAGGCCUUAGGGUUGUAAAGCUCUUUCACCGAUGAAGAUAAUGACGGUAGUCGGGGAAGAAGCCCCGGCUAACUUCGCGCCAGCCGCCGCAGUAAUAC
rnacentral:rRNA from 1 species